rnacentral:rRNA from 1 species
UGUAGUCAUAUGCUUGUCUCAAAGAUUAAGCCAUGCAUGUCUAAGCACAAACUUUUACACAGUGAAGCUGCGAAUGGCUCAUUAGGUCACCCAUGAUUUCUUAGAUCGUACAAUCCUACUUGGAUAACUGUGGUAAUUCUAGAGCUAAUACAUGCAAAUAAGCUCCGACCCCUCGUGGGAAAGAGCGCGUUUAUUAGAUCAAAACCAAUCGGGCUCUCGGGCUCGUACGUUUGGUGACUCUGGAUAACUUUGAGCGGAUCGCACGGGCUUGCCCCGGCGACGUAUCUUUCAAGUGUGUGCCCUAUCAACUUUCGAUGGUACGCGAUAUGCCUACCAUGGUUGUAACGGGUAACGGGGA